rnacentral:rRNA from 1 species
UAGGGAGCAAGCGUUGUCCGGAUUUACUGGGUGUAAAGGGUGCGUAGGCGGCUUUGCAAGUCAGAAGUGAAAUCCAUGGGCUUAACCCAUGAACUGCUUUUGAAACUGCAGGGCUUGAGUGAAGUAGAGGUAGGCGGAAUUCCCGGUGUAGCGGUGAAAUGCGUAGAGAUCGGGAGGAACACCAGUGGCGAAGGCGGCCUACUGGGCUUUAACUGACGCUGAGGCACGAAAGCGUGGCUAGCAAA